UUUUGAAUCAUUUAUGUCAUUAAUGCAGUAGAUAAUUGGAUUAGUUAUGUUUGAACUUGUCAAGCCAUGUGUAAAUUAGAACAUGAUAUGAAUAGGUUCUUUAGUUGUAUACAAUAAUCGAAGUUGGUAUAAUGAAAAAGCGGUUUACAAUACGUUUUUCAGGUUGAUUAGAUAUUACUUUGGUUAAAUUUGGUAACUGUAUUAGAAAACUGGAUUAGUUAGGUAUAAUUGUAGGCUGGUUUAAUUUAAUUAUAUCAGUCAUCAAAACAUAUUAUAUAUAAGUAGC
rnacentral:lncRNA from 1 species